CCUACGGGAGGCAGCAGUGGGGAAUUUUGGACAAUGGGCGCAAGCCUGAUCCAGCCAUGCCGCGUGUGGGAAGAAGGCCUUCGGGUUGUAAACCACUUUUGUCAGGGAAGAAACGGCUCUUACUAAUAUUAGGAGCUAAUGACGGUACCUGAAGAAUAAGCACCGGCUAACUACGUGCCAGCAGCCGCGGUAAUACGUAGGGUGCAAGCGUUAAUCGGAAUUACUGGGCGUAAAGCGUGCGCAGGCGGCUUUGCAAGACAGAUGUGAAAUCCCCGGGCUCAACCUGGGAACUGCAUUUGUGACUGCAUGGCUAGAGUACGGUAGAGGGGGAUGGAAUUCCGCGUGUAGCAGUGAAAUGCGUAGAUAUGCGGAGGAACACCGAUGGCGAAGGCAAUCCCCUGGACCUGUACUGACGCUCAUGCACGAAAGCGUGGGGAGCAAACAGGAUUAGAUACCCUGGUAGUCCACGCCCUAAACGAUGUCAACUGGUUGUUGGACGGCUUGCUGUUCAGUAACGAAGCUAACGCGUGAAGUUGACCGCCUGGGGAGUACGGCCGCAGGUUGAAACUCAAAGGAUUGACGGCUGAGACGNGCGACGACGACGACGAGGGAGGAGG
rnacentral:rRNA from 1 species